rnacentral:tRNA from 1 species
AGCAGCUCCCUCGUAAAGAGCA